rnacentral:rRNA from 1 species
GAUGAACGCUGGCGGCGUGCUUAACACAUGCAAGUCGAACGGUGAAAGAGGAGCUUGCUCCUCUGGAUCAGUGGCGAACGGGUGAGUAACACGUGAGCAAUCUGCCCCUGACUCUGGGAUAACAGCUGGAAACAGCUGCUAAUACCGGAUACGAGACGUGAUCGCAUGAUCAACGUCUGGAAAGAACUUCGGUCAGGGAUGAGCUCACGGCCUAUCAGCUUGUUGGUGAGGUAAUGGCUCACCAAGGCGACGACGGGUAGCCGGCCUGAGAGGGUGACCGGCCACACUGGGACUGAGACACGGCCCAGACUCCUACGGGAGGCAGCAGUGGGGAAUAUUGCACAAUGGGCGCAAGCCUGAUGCAGCAACGCCGCGUGAGGGACGACGGCCUUCGGUGUAACCUCUUUAGCAAGAAGAAGACGAAAGUAGACGGUACUUAGCAAGAAAAGACGACGGCUAACUACGU